rnacentral:rRNA from 1 species
AGGCAGCAGUGGGGAAUAUUGCGCAAUGGGCGAAAGCCUGACGCAGCGACGCCGCGUGAGGGACGACGGCCUUCGGGUUGUAAACCUCUUUCAGCAGGGACGAAGCGAAAGUGACGGUACCUGCAGAAGAAGCACCGGCCAACUACGUGCCAGCAGCCGCGGUAAUACGUAGGGUGCAAGCGUUGUCCGGAAUUAUUGGGCGUAAAGAGCUCGUAGGCGGUUUGUCACGUCGGAUGUGAAAACUCGGGGCUCAACCCCGAGCCUGCAUACGAUACGGGCAGACUUGAGUUCGGCAGGGGAGACUGGAAUUCCUGGUGUAGCGGUGAAAUGCGCAGAUAUCAGGAGGAACACCGGUGGCGAAGGCGGGUCUCUGGGCCGAUACUGACGCUGAGGAGCGAAAGCGUGGGGAGCGAACAGGAUUAGAUACCCUGGUAG